GGGAUAUAACAGUUAACGUUUCCAUUUUCUAAUUAAUUAUCUCUACCCAUCGUCUUACAGCUAAAACACUUCGAUGUAUUUGAUACGUAUUACAAGUAAUAUCAUUAUAUAGGGGGGCAUAAACACUUACAUUACAUGAUAUAAUUUCCAGAUAUACUCACCACAGUUCGAGCUGUAAGUGCACUGCAGGCCGCCUGAUAAAUUGAUGCCGAUUCAAAAAAGACCGCCAAGUAAUCGCAAAAUGGCGCAAUAGCGCGAUGUCACCGCGUUGCAUUAUGUUUGGGCAUGGGAUUAUGGGGGUUGGCAAAAGAAUAAAUAAAUAAUAAUAAUAAUUCAAAUAAAAUAAACAAUAAUAUACUUUAAAUUAACUUGUAUUAUUCUGUACAUUAGUGCUUAUCCACAAAAUCCAUACACAGAAAAAGUUGAAGCAUAAUCAUCUUUGAUGGAUGAGAUCAACAUUUAAAUAUGAAAUGAUUUGUAAUUUUACAUUUUUAACUAGAAUGUACUUUAAAUAUAAAAAAAAAUGCAAGUAAGAAGCAGCAAUCAAUCUGAUCAAUUAUUUUAUAUAUAUAAAAAAGAAUAAUAAUAUAAAGAACAGACCAAAUUAUAGCAAAGGAAUUAGAGUUAUAUUGCAUAAUUACAAGACUGUACAAUAAACAGUAAUGUUUGCAUUGUCUGCAUGCACUCACUUUACUUUCCAACACAAAGAUCAAAAAGUUUAUGUUUCCAGCCCAGAAUCCAGUAAGCAAUACUGUUUUGAUCAUCCUAAAUAUGUCUUAACAGGUUUGAGAGUGUUUGAAUUGCAUUAUAUUGCAAAAAAAAGAUUGGAUAUCAAUUUAUAUAAACUGCAAUGGUUCAUGAAUGGGUCAUGGGUCAAAUUAAAGUCAUAACACUUUUUUUCAUAGUCCCUUUUUGAAUAUUCUAUUGACAAUAUAAUAUUGCACUUACAUGUCAACUAACUCUCAUUACAGUGUUAAUAGCCUGUCUGCUUAAUUUCUAACUCUUAAUUCUGAUGGUCUCCCAAAAUAUGUUUUACUGACUACAAGUAACUUUGCAAGUACAUCAACUUAUUCUAACACUCUAAUGAGAGCAGGUAUGUACAGUCGUGGCCAAAAAUAUUGGCACCCUUGGUAAAUAUGAUCAAAGAAGAGUGUAAAAAUUCUUCUGCAUUGUUAAUCCUUUUGAUCUUUUAUUUAAAAACAAUUCACAAAAAAUGUAUCCUUUCAUUGGAUAAUAAGAAUUGAAAA
ensembl:lncRNA